rnacentral:rRNA from 1 species
CAGUCGCCGCGGUAAUACGAAGGGUGCAAGCGUUAAUCGGAAUUACUGGGCAUAAAGCGCGCGUAGGUGGUUCAUUAAGUUGGAUGUGAAAGCCCUGGGCUCAACCUGGGAACUGCAUCCAAAACUGGUGAGCUAGAGUACGGUAGAGGGUAGUGGAAUUUCCUGUGUAGCGGUGAAAUGCGUAGAUAUAGGAAGGAACACCAGUGGCGAAGGCGACUACCUGGACUGAUACUGACACUGAGGUGCGAAAGCGUGGGGAGCAAACAGGAUUAGAUACCCCCGUAGUCCCUGUCUCUUAUAC